rnacentral:rRNA from 1 species
UACAGAGGUCUCAAGCGUUGUUCGGAUUCAUUGGGCGUAAAGGGCGCGUAGGCGGCUCAGCAAGUUGGAUGUGAAAGCCCAGGGCUCAACCCUGGAAUAGCAUUCAAGACUGCUUUGCUUGAAUUCGGUAGAGGUUGGUGGAAUUCCCAGUGUAGAGGUGAAAUUCGUAGAGAUUGGGAAGAACACCCGUGGCGAAGGCGGCCAACUGGACCGACAUUGACGCUGAGGCGCGAAAGCGUGGGGAUCAAACAGG